AGUGAACGCUGGCGGUAGGCCUAACACAUGCAAGUCGAACGGCAGCACAGUAAGAGCUUGCUCUUACGGGUGGCGAGUGGCGGACGGGUGAGGAAUACAUCGGAAUCUACUUUUUCGUGGGGGAUAACGUAGGGAAACUUACGCUAAUACCGCAUACGACCUACGGGUGAAAGCAGGGGAUCUUCGGACCUUGCGCGAUUGAAUGAGCCGAUGUCGGAUUAGCUAGUUGGCGGGGUAAAGGCCCACCAAGGCGACGAUCCGUAGCUGGUCUGAGAGGAUGAGCGCCCACACGAGAAGUGGAACACGGUCACGAGCCAUGAGGGGAGGAGCAGGGGGGUAAGGGUGGGAAUGGGGGGAAAGCUGUCAACACAACGCCGGGUGGGGGAGAGAGGGGUUGGGGUUGUGAAACUCUUUUUUGGGGGAAAAAAAAAGGUGGAUGUACACCCCCGGUUCUUGACGGGAACAAAAAAAAAAACCCCGGCUAACCACGUG
rnacentral:rRNA from 1 species